rnacentral:rRNA from 1 species
UAGGGAAUCUUCGGCAAUGGGGGGAACCCUGACCGAGCAACGCCGCGUGAGUGAAGAAGGUUUUCGGAUCGUAAAGCUCUGUUGUUAAGGAAGAACGAGUGUGAGAAUGGAAAGUUCAUGCUGUGACGGUACUUAACCAGAAAGCCACGGCUAACUACGUGCCAGCAGCCGCGGUAAUACGUAGGUGGCAAGCGUUGUCCGGAUUUAUUGGGCGUAAAGCGAGCGCAGGCGGUCAAUUAAGUCUGAUGUGAAAGCCCCCGGCUCAACCGGGGAGGGUCAUUGGAGACUGGUUGACUUGAGUGAAGAAGAGGAGAGUGGAAUUCCAUGUGUAGCGGUGAAAUGCGUAGAUAUAUGGAGGACCACCAGUGGCGAAGGCGACUCUCUGGUCUGUAACUGACGCGGAGGCUCGAAAGCGUGGGUAGCAAACAGG